rnacentral:rRNA from 1 species
GUUUGAUCCUGGCUCAGGACGAACGCUGGCGGCGUGCCUAACACAUGCAAGUCGAACGGAGUAUUCAGCAAUGGAUACUUAGUGGCGAACGGGUGAGUAACGCGUAUAUAAUCUGCCUCAAAGCUGGGGACAACACUUGGAAACGAGUGCUAAUACCGAAUGUGGUAUCUUGUGUGCAUACAUGAUCUAAAAAAGAUGGCCUCUUUGCAAUGCUAUCGCUUUGAGAUGAGUCUGCGUCUGAUUAGCUAGUUGGAGAGGUAAAAGCUCACCUAGGCGACGAUCAGUAGCCGGUCUGAGAGGAUGAACGGCCACACUGGGACUGAGACACGGCCCAGACUCCUACGGGAGGCAGCAGUGGGGAAUCUUCCGCAAUGGACGAAAGUCUGACGGAGCAACGCCGCGUGAGUGAAGAAGGUCUUCGGAUUGUAAAGCUCUGUCAACUAGGACGAAUGUGUGACUUGUGAAUAAUGAGUCAUAAUGACGGUACUAGAGAAGGAAGCCACGGCUAACUACGUGCCAGCAGCCGCGGUAAUACGUANGUGGCGAGCGUUGUCCNGAANUAUNGGGCGUNAAGAGCGCGUANGCGGGUAAAUAGUCUGUUUUAAAAGUGCGG